CUUAGGCGCUUGAGAACGAUGUUGAAGGAACUCGGCAAAUUACAUGCGUAACUUCGGGAUAAGCAUGCCCCAUCGGAAGGCAACUUCUGGUGGGGGGCACAAACUAGGGGGUAGCGACUGUUUACCAAAAACACAGGGCUCUACGAAAACGUAAGUUGACGUAUGGGGUCUGACGCCUGCCCGGUGCCGGAAGAUUAAGAGGAGAUGUUAACGCAUUGAAUUGAAGUCCCGGUAAACGGCGGCCGUAACGAUAACGGUCCUAAGGUAGCGAAAUUCCUUGUCGGGUAAGUUCCGACCUGCACGAAUGGCGUAACGACUUCCCCACUGUCUCCAACAUCGACUCAGUGAAAUUGGAUUCCCCGUGAAGAUACGGGGUUCCCGCGGUCAGACGGAAAGACCCUAUGAACCUUUACUAUAACUUUGCAGUGGCAUCACGAUUGUCGUGUGUAGGAUAGGUGGGAGACUUUGAAGCGGGAGCGCUAGCUUUCGUGGAGUCAACGUUGAAAUACCACCCUCGACCUUCUUGAUGUCUAACCAAGCUCCAUUAUCUGGAGCUGGGACCCUGCAUGGCGGGUAGUUUGACUGGGGCGGUCGCCUCCCAAAGUGUAACGGAGGCGCGCGAUGGUAAGCUCAAGACGGUUGGAAAUCGUCUUCAAGAGUGCAAAGGCAUAAGCUUGCCUGACUGCGAGACUGACAAGUCGAGCAGAGACGAAAGUCGGUCAUAGUGAUCCGGUGGUUCCGAAUGGAAGGGCCAUCGCUCAACGGAUAAAAGGUACUCUAGGGAUAACAGGCUGAUAGCGCCCAAGCGUCCCCAGCGACGGCGCUGUUUGGCACCUCGAUGUCGGCUCAUCUCAUCCUGGGGCUGGAGCAGGUCCCAAGGGUAUGGCUGUUCGCCAUUUAAAGAGGUACGUGAGCUGGGUUCAAAACGUCGUGAGACAGUUUGGUCCCUAUCUGCCGUGGGUGUAGGAUAUUUGAGAGGAGCUGUCCUUAGUACGAGAGGACCGGGAUGGUCAUACCUCUGGUGUACCAGUUGUUCCGCCAGGAGCAGCGCUGGGUAGCUAUGUAUGGACGGGAUAAACGCUGAAAGCAUCUAAGCGUGAAGCCUCCCUCAAAACAAGAUAUCCCUAUCAGAGCCGUGGAAGACACCACGUUGAUAGGCUGGAUGUGGAAGGGUAGUAAUACCUGUAGCUAACCAGUACUAAUUGCUCGAA
rnacentral:rRNA from 1 species